rnacentral:rRNA from 1 species
GACGAACGCUGGCGGCGUGCCUAACACACGCAAGUCGCACGGGCUUGGGGGGCAACUCUCAAGUUAGUGGCGAACGGGUGCGCAACACGUGAGCAACUUGCCCUACGGUGGGGGAUAGCCGGUCUAACGGCCGGGUAAUACCGCAUAUGGCGCCGGGGUCGCAUGACCUUGGUGGGAAAGCGGCCGCAAGGUCGCGCCGGAGGUGGGGCUCGCGGCGUAUCAGCUAGUUGGCGGGGUAAUGGCCCACCAAGGCUACGACGCGUAGCUGGUCUGAGAGGAUGGCCAGCCACAUUGGGACUGAGAUACGGCCCAGACUCCUACGGGAGGCAGCAGUGGGGAAUAUUGCGCAAUGGCCGAAAGGCUGACGCAGCGACGCCGCGUGUGGGAUGAAGGCCUUCGGGUUGUAAACCACUGUCGGGGGGGACGAAUACCUGGCUUCGAAUAGGAGACCAGGGGUGACGGUACCUCCAAAGGAAGCACCGGCUAACUCCGUGCCAGCAGCCGCGGUAAUACGGAGGGUGCGAGCGUUGUCCGGAAUCACUGGGCGUAAAGGGCGCGUAGGCGGCCGUGUAAGUCACUUGUGAAAUCCCGGGGCUCAACUCCGGGGCUGCAGGUGAGACUGCAUGGCUAGAGCUCGGUAGAGGCGAGUGGAAUUCCCGGUGUAGCGGUGGAAUGCGUAGAUAUCGGGAAGAACACCGGUGGCGAAGGCGGCUCGCUGGGCCGAUGCUGACGCUGAGGCGCGAAAGCGUGGGGAGCAAACAGGAUUAGAUACCCUGGUAGCCCACGCCGUAAACGAUGGGUACUAGGCGUCAGGGGGANCGACCCCCGUUGGUGCCGUCGCUAACGCAGUAAGUACCCGGCCUGGGGAGUACGGUCGCAAAGUGAAACUCAAAGGAAUUGACGGGGGCCGCACAACCGGUGGGAACAUGUGGUUUAAU